rfam:Oerskovia sp. Root918 contig_2, whole genome shotgun sequence.
ACGCUCCCGCAGGACGAGGCCUCCUCCCGCCCGGUCUGGCGCACUUCCCCGGUGCCAGAACGGACGCGGUGGGAGACCUGGCCCGGCGGCGCGGAACGG